rnacentral:lncRNA from 1 species
ACUCGUGGGUCCCGAACUCCGCCUCGGGCCAGGACCCAGGGGGCCGCCGGAGGGCCUGGGCCGAGCUGCUGGCGGGAAGGGUCAAGAGGGAAAAAUAUAAUCCUGAAAGGGCACAGAAAUUAAAGGAAUCAGCUGUGCGCCUCCUGCGAAGCCAUCAGGACCUGAAUGCCCUUUUGCUUGAGGUAGAAGGUCCACUGUGUAAAAAAUUGUCUCUCAGCAAAGUGAUUGACUGUGACAGUUCUGAGGCCUAUGCUAAUCAUUCUAGUUCAUUUAUAGGCUCUGCUUUGCAGGAUCAAGCCUCAAGGCUGGGGGUUCCCGUGGGUAUUCUCUCAGCCGGGAUGGUUGCCUCUAGCGUGGGACAGAUCUGCACGGCUCCAGCGGAGACCAGUCACCCUGUGCUGCUGACUGUGGAGCAGAGAAAGAAGCUGUCUUCCCUGUUAGAGUUUGCUCAGUAUUUAUUGGCACACAGUAUGUUCUCCCGUCUUUCCUUCUGUCAAGAAUUAUGGAAAAUACAGGUAAAUUUGAGAUUGCAAAUCUGACUCUCCAGUGUUCCAGGCAAUGUUCUGUUGAUCUGGAUGGAGGCAACAGAGUACCUGGGUUUUCUUGGGAAUUCUCCAAGCUUCUCAUUAAUUACAGAGAGUGGAUGAAAA